ACUUUUCAGACUGUAUGAGUCCUUCCUCAGGGCCUAAAAUUUCUUUAAAAGUUGUAGGCACUGAGGAAGGACUCAUACAGUCUGAAAA
rnacentral:pre_miRNA from 1 species